UAGUUUGGUUAUAAUUUAUCCGUUGUUCAUUCUAUUUUUAUUGCAUUGAUAAUCGAUGUAAUCAAUGCAUGCAGGUCUCAAAAUUAUCUUUAAACGGAAAAUCUGAAGAUCGACAAAAGUCACGGACCUCUGAAACCCACUCUUCUAGGUUCCGUUCGUCAUCGAAAGCAAGACUUUCGUCUUGCCUAUAUGGUCGAGUGGUUAGCACGGUGGCGGCUUACUGCAAGGAGAGUGGGUUCCAGAGGUCGUGAGUUCAAGCUUCAAUAUUCAAAUGAAUAUCUAUCUAUCUAUCUAUCUAUCUCUCUCUCUCUCUCUCUCUCUCUCUCUCUCUCUCUCUAUCUCUAUCUAUCCGCAUGCAUAUAUGUUCAAUAUUUCCUUACAAUAUUUGACAUCUGUGUUCAAAAAUGUAUGAAUUUUACAGUAGUUUUUGAAAUUGUUUGUAUAACACUAUUAAGAUAUGAAUGUUAAAUGUAUCUUUUUUUGUCCAAGUUAUUAGCAUUAUAUUUUAAGUUAUAUUAUACAAAUUGCUAAAAAAAAUUGUUUCUUAAUUGAGAAUACUAGGCUUAGCAUUGAAACAGAUUUCUAUCAAAGUUGGUUUUGGCUUUAUUUUGCCAUGCAAGAUAUCGUUAUAAAUAUGUGCAUUUAAAUUCUAGUUUAUUUUACAGCGGAGUGUUGUUGUGAUGUAGGCCUAAAUUUUACACAGUGUGACAGGUGCAUUGUCGAUUUGCCGCUCUUUGAUUUCAAAGCAUUCGUAGUGUUGAUGUUUGUGAAUUAAAUGCUUCCACAACAGAUUCAAAUUGAAUACAAUGUAAUAUAUUUCACAUAAGUUGCACAAUAUAUGAGUCAAGAUUAGAAAACUAUUAGGUGAAAAGAAGAAAGAGUUAUAGAUAUAAUAAGUUCGGAUACGUACGAAGAAGGCGGUAGUAGAAAGAACGGUCAUUGAUAUGGAUCGUAAGAAUGGGCGUUCGCGAUUUCUUGGGCAAUUGCUACUGUAUUACAAAGAUUACUUUUUAAUAUGAGCUAUGAAACGGACACCAACUGUGAAAUAGAAAACCUGGAAAACCAAAGAACAUAUUGAAAAGGGGGACAAUAAUGGGAAAAAAACACCACGAGAUAUCAUGAAACAGCAACUGUUAAAGAAGGGACUUUUUGGAUGUCUUGUUGCAAUUCACGGAGGGGAUCAAAUGAGCGGUUCAUUUGUGUCAAGCAAAUGUAAUUUUUAUGUAUACAUGUAGUUACAUUUACAAUUAUGUUCCAUGACCUUUGGUCCUUAGAAUAAAAAUGGUUAUGCUUCC
rnacentral:sRNA from 1 species